CGGAUGCCGCCCCCUGCUCUUAUACUGUAACCUCAGGGCAAGAUGAUCGAGAGAUCUGAUACGCUGUUUUUCCGUCAAUCCGCUCACUGUAUACACCGAUCUCUCUUCGGUCUUUGUGGAUCGGAUCAUAACAUGUUGAUUCUUCAUAGGUAUGGUCAAAUAUAUAUGUUCGUUAUAUUUUGUUGUAUUUUGAAUGUUAACAGGCACAUUUAUUUCAUACUUGGUUAUUUUUCUGAUUAUACUAACCAUACUUGUUAAAAUCAAGUUAUUUUGAUGUUGAGUUAUUCAGAUUAGCAGAAAUAAAUUCUGUUAAAAUAUUCAACUGUUUGGAACCUAGUGGUUUUUGUUCAACGUCAACUUGUUAAUUUUUAAAAGGUAUGGGUUGAAACCCUAGGGAUUUAUGGCACCGAAGAAGUGGUGGACAUCUAAGGAAGAAGAAGCCUUGAAAGCUGGUGUUAAAGAAUAUAAAGCAGGAAACUGGAAAGAUAUUCUUAAAGAUCCACGAUUUGCUUCUAUACUGGCUAAUCGAACGAAUAUCGAUCUCAAGGUUGUUACUUGUCCUGCAAAGUUUGCAAAACAUGCAUCGAUCAGUGAUUGCGGACAUCUAGUUUCAACUGAAGACUCCGAGGCGGCUUAGUAGGCUUUCUUGGAGGGGUCUUUCCUGUCAAUUUCCUUACGUGAUAGCUGGAUCGAAAAGUUGGGUGUUUCUUCCUUCUUAGCGAGGUUCCUUCUAGGCCUGGUUUUCUUCAAUCUCUGAUGGCCUGCCUCUGCAUUGAUUCUUCCAUCAGCCUCAUCUUUUGAGAGAAUCGCGGGUGUAGGUGAUAGCGAUGAGGCUUUGGAUGUCAACUUUUUCAAAGGGGUGCCAUUUGGGGAUGAAGAAGCUUUGAUCGGAGACGAUGAUGAAUUCAGCUCAAAAUCCAACUUCUGCCGAUCAUCAGUGGAUCUAGGUUGUCCUGCAGAAGGGUUCUGGUUAGUGUCGCCUGGAUCUGAAGAUUCAUCAUCUUCAAACACAUGCGUUGCUUGAACUGGAUCAUCUUUCCUGCACCUCAAUAGAUGUUUCCCCCACGUCAACCCUGUAGGGAAAGUGAAAUUGUGAAGACUUUCAGAUCUCUCCAUCCAUAAGAUUUAAAUGUUGUAGCUAGUAUCUUCUUAGAGAUUUUUGAGCUUGAAGAGCUAGGCUGAUUAUUCAACCUAGGAGUUCUAAUUGUAACAUGUUGAUUGCUCAUAAUGUUUUCAUUUUUGUUUACUUCUUCAUCAUUGCUGUACAUUUUGUUUUAACUUAUAGUAAGAUGUACUGAUAGCAUAUAGAAUAUCUUUUAUUGAUGUUAGUCUAUUUUGUC